CCAGACACAGCCCAAGACCUUGGGCCUCCUUUGGAGCCUGCCCUUAAAGGAAACCAGCUGCGAACAUCAAAUGCCAAGGAGCUAUUAAUAGACACGUGUACAGUAUGUAAAAGCCAACGAGCGGCACUUUCCUUCCCCCGGAGAGCCCCUUCCUGACUGCAUCGCGGCAGCAGAGGGGCCCGUUGCAGCCCCCUCCGCCGUGCGCGUAUUUAUGAUGCCCAGCGAAGCUCUGUCGUUGCAGAUGUCUUGAGAAAUUUGCUUGCUGUAACCCGCAUUUUACUGCUCCCGCCACUCGGGCUGCUCCUGCUUGGAGCUGCCGGAGCCACCACCUGGCCAGGCCUCCUGGAAUCCCUCGGAGCGAAAGCCCGGCCUCCUCAUGCGUUGCGCACUCCGUGCUUCCCGUGUAAAGAGAUAUGGGUUGGGGGACUAAAACAAAGACAAGACCUCCCCGCAAGGACGAGCCUUGCUGGCAGCGCUGCCGUGCCUCAGACGCGGAGCCCGCCGGCAGUGUGUGCUGGCCGCGUGCCGGGCCAAAUGAAUCCACCAGUGCUCUCACGCCUCCUCCUGAAGAGGGAGGCCGCCUGCCCCGGGCUACGGGCCUCCACAGCACCGUCAACGAGCCUCAUCCCAUGGGAGAGAUGGGGAAUGCGGUCCCCAGCGCUCCCACCAUGGCCCCCUCUCUCACUGGGCACCUCCCUCAUUCACCAUCUCGGUGCAGCAAACGGCAAGAGACUGAGGCUGUGCCCCCCAUCCAGCCCCGCAUAAAUCCAGCUCCUGACCUGGGCUCACGUGCAUGGCACCAGGCUAUUGCACUAUCAUUUUUCACUCUAUAUUUAGAUGUUUUAGGUGCAAUUUUACAGCUACAAAGUGAUAGUAGGCAGUGGAAAAUAAAUGCAAUUGCUUCACCACCAUCAGCCAGCAACAAAGUAUGUUCAGGGGCUCUCUCCUCCUUGUGAGGACCAAGUCUCUCAAAAAGGGCUUGAAUGAAGUAGUUUCUUGCUACUUGAACCUAGCCCGGCUGAAAUGCUGAUGUGCUAUUUGUCAGAAAACAAAGCCAGAUAAGAACAAAACCAAUUGCAUUUAGGUAAUUUGUUGCAAAUCCAAAAGAGUUUCAUUCUGGGUCAGUUGAACCAUUUCAGGGUGUGUAGCACAUGUUAAACUGUUUCCAAAUCCAUCCGUGCUGCCAGGCCUGUAUUUACCAUGGAAAAGGUGCUCCAGGAGACAGCCCCUGCCCUCCCUUUGCCCGUCUGGCCCCACUCGCUGUGGUGGUCGAGCACGUCACCUCCUAGAUGUUCCAGGAGGAGGUACCACGAGUGCACACACAGCACCACACACACACUCGAGCCAGCACACCCGCUCACCCCACGUGCUUUUGGGUAGUCCAGCUAAUUAUUUUCCAAACUGGAACUUGGCAUUUCCAUCCCUCCCCUUGCACAUGCUACCCACAGGAGCACCCUGAAAGCAGGGAGAGGAUCCCAGCCACCGCUGGAGCCCAGUUGUCCCAGGCUUCGCUCUGCUGGUGCCGUGGGAUCCUCCAUCCUGGUGAGAAGGGGUCUCCGUGCCCGCCUGCCACCUCCUCCCCACGUGGAAGCGGAGCCGCUUGCUCUGCAGCGCGCGGCCUCCGCUGCGGAGGGCUAUUUGUAGGCCUGUUUAUAUCGCGAGUGCUUGGUUGUGACUUGCUGUGUUUUGAUACUGUGGAAUUUCUCCCUCCUUUUC